rnacentral:rRNA from 1 species
UACGAAGGGGGCUAGCGUUGCUCGGAAUUACUGGGCGUAAAGGGCGCGUAGGCGGCACUGUUAGUCAGGCGUGAAAUUCCUGGGCUCAACCUGGGGACUGCGCUUGAUACGGCAGAGCUAGAGGAUGGAAGAGGCUCGCGGAAUUCCCAGUGUAGAGGUGAAAUUCGUAGAUAGUUGGGAAGAACACCGGUGGCGAAGGCGGCGAGCUGGUCCAUUACUGACGGCUGAGGCGCGACAGCGUGGGGAGCAACAGG